UACAGAGGGGGCAAGCGUUGUUCGGAAUUACUGGGCGUAAAGGGCUCGUAGGUGGCCAACUAAGUCAGACGUGAAAUCCCUCGGCUUAACCGGGGAACUGCGUCUGAUACUGGAUGGCUUGAAUCCGGGAGAGGGAUGCGGAAUUCCAGGUGUAGCGGUGAAAUGCGUAGAUAUCUGGAGGAACACCGGUGGCGAAGGCGGCAUCCUGGACCGGCAUUGACGCUGAGGAGCGAAAGCCAGGGGAGCAAACAGGG
rnacentral:rRNA from 1 species